CAUAUUGAAACACGGGUUCCUGUUAGAUUACUAAAGUUAAGUCAACAUUGAGCCUGGUUAGUACCUAGGUGGGUGAGCACUUGAAAAUACCUGGUGCUGUAAG